rnacentral:rRNA from 1 species
GUGCCAGCAGCCGCGGUAAUACGUAGGUGGCGAGCGUUGUCCGGAUUUAUUGGGUUUAAAGGGUGCGUAGGCGGCCUCUUAAGUCAGUGCUGAAAUAUCCCGGCUUAACCGGGAGGGUGGCAUUGAUACUGAGGGGCUUGAGUAAAGUCGAGGUAGGCGGAAUUGACGGUGUAGCGGUGAAAUGCUUAGAUAUCGUCAAGAACACCGAUAGUGCAGACAGCUUACUAGGCUUUAACUGACGCUGAGGCACGAAAGUGUGGGGAUCAAACAGGAUUAGAAACCCCAGUAGUCC